UGUGGGCACGGCAAGAUGAGACCAGUCGGUGCGGACACUUCAACCCUAUGAUCAGUAUUUGGGAAAUAUCAUUUGCAUCGUAAGGUUUUUAUUAGAAUUUUCUGUCGUGUUACAAGGAAGAAACGUUCAUGUUAAUAUUCACUUUAUCCACAUUAUGACCAUAAAAUUUGAGUGAACAUUGCAACAGCAGAAAAUUUAUGCAGGUACUUUGCAUGAUGACAAUCCAUGUUGGCGGCCAUCACUAUACAACAAUAGGACCAUCAAAAACAGUGACAUUUACAAUACUUUUCCACUACACAGUUAAUAUGUCUCUCUGAAAAUCUUGUAAGUGUACACCUGUCCAAAUGUUUUCAAUCAACUUUGCAUUUUCAGUUUCAUUUUUAUAAUCAUGUCUUCUCUGAAUAGUGUCAUUAUGUAUUAAAAAAAAGAUUAAUAAAAAGACGUGUGCUGUAUUUUGAAGGUAUUAAUUAGUUUCAAUGAUGCUAACCGUUGCCAUUCAUCAGUUUCAUUACUUCUACAGAGCUGAAUUUUCCAGGAAAUCCAACAUUAGGGACUUUCAAUGAAGAUGUUAUAUUAUCAUAAAUAAUGCAGUGCAUAUUACAUUAUACUUGCAAGCCACCUGCUGUGUUCUCAUUUAUCUAAUCUGAAUUUUCAAGAAAUGUAUUCUUCAAGUGUCCUAUAAUA